rnacentral:rRNA from 1 species
AACGGCCGCGGGAUCCUACACCGUGCAAAGGUAGCAUAAUCACUUGUCACCUAAAUAGUGACUAGUAUGAAUGGCCCCAUGAGGACUUUCCUGUCUCUUGUAACUAAUCAAUGAAACUGAUCUUCCAGUUCAAAAGCUGAAAUAAACCCACAAGACGAAAAGACCCUGUGGAACUUCCAAAUAUUAAUCAUCAAUAUGACAAAAUAUUUUUAGUUGGGGCAACUUUGGAACAAAACAAAACUUCCAAUUAUAGGAUUUAAGCCCACCCUAACAUAGGUCCACACACCAAAUUUUUUCCUAACCUAGACCCAGCACCGCUGAUUAAAGAAACAAGCUACCCCAGGGAUAACAGCGCCAUCCCCUCUUAGAGUCCUAAUCGACGAGUGGGGCUUACGACCUCGAUGUUGGAUCAGGCCCCCCAAACAGUGCAGCAGCUGUUAAAGGUUUG